rnacentral:rRNA from 1 species
AAUCAACGCUGGCGGCGUGCCUAACACAUGCAAGUCGAACGCGAAAGGGGGCGUUCGGCUCCUAAGUAGAGUGGCGUCCGGGUGAGUAACACGUAGGUAAUCUGCCUUCGGGUGGGGAAGUAACCAGUCGAAGAUUGGCUAAUACCGCAUAAUGCAGCGGCACCUAAUGGUGAUUAGUUGUUAAAGCGGGGGAGUCGUAAGACCUCGCGCCUGAAGAGGAGCCUGCGGCAGANAGCUAGUUGGUGAGGUAAUGGCUCACCAAGGCUUCGAUCUGUAGCUGGUCUGAGAGGACGGCCAGCCACACUGGCACUGACACACGGGCCAGACUCCUACGGGAGGCAGCAGUGGGGAAUUUUGGGCAAUGGGCGAAAGCCUGACCCAGCAACGCCGCGU